GGAAUCGUGCGCAAUGGACUAACGUCUGACGCCGCGACGUCGCGUGGAGGAUGAAGGCCUUAGGGUCGUAAACUCCUUUUCCCAUCGAACAAGUUCUGAGUGUCGAUGGGGAAUAAGUGCCUGCAAACCACGUGCCAGAAGCAUCGGUAAUACGUGGGGCACAAGCGUUACCCGGAUUUACUGGGCGUAAAGAGAUGCUUAGGCCUCUUUGUCAGUCAGUUGUGAAAUCUUUCGGCUCAACCGAAUACCCGCAACUGAUACUACAUUGAUUGAGAUAGGUAGGGGAGAGCGGAAUUCCUGGUGGAGCGGUUAAAUGCGUAGAUAUCAGGAGGAACACCGAUGGCGAAGGCAGCUCUCUAGACCUAAUCUGACGCUAAGGCUCGAAAGUGUGGGGAGCAAAA
rnacentral:rRNA from 1 species